ACGGAAGGCAGCAGUGGGGAAUAUUGCACAAUGGGGGAAACCCUGAUGCAGCGACGCCGCGUGAGUGAAGAAGUAUUUCGGUAUGUAAAGCUCUAUCAGCAGGGAAGAAAAUGACGGUACCUGACUAAGAAGCCCCGGCUAACUACGUGCCAGCAGCCGCGGUAAUACGUAGGGGGCAAGCGUUAUCCGGAUUUACUGGGUGUAAAGGGAGCGUAGACGGUUCUGCAAGUCUGAUGUGAAAGGCAGGGGCUCAACUCCUCGACUGCAUUGGAAACUGUAGAACUAGAGUGCCGGAGAGGUAAGCGGAAUUCCUAGUGUAGCGGUGAAAUGCGUAGAUAUUAGGAGGAACACCAGUGGCGAAGGCGGCUUACUGGACGGUAACUGACGUUGAGGCUCGAAGGUGCGGGUAUCGAACAGGAUUAGAUACCCUGGUA
rnacentral:rRNA from 1 species